rnacentral:snRNA from 1 species
UGGUGUUACAGCUCUUUUAGAAUUUGUCUAGCAGAUUUUCCAGUUUCACCAGAGAAGCUCCC